GACGAACGCUGGCGGCGUGCCUAAUACAUGCAAGUUGAGCGCUGAAGGUUGGUACUUGUACCAACUGGAUGAGCAGCGAACGGGUGAGUAACGCGUGGGGAAUCUGCCUUUGAGCGGGGGACAACAUUUGGAAACGAAUGCUAAUACCGCAUAAAAACUUUAAACACAAGUUUUAAGUUUGAAAGAUGCAAUUGCAUCACUCAAAGAUGAUCCCGCGUUGUAUUAGCUAGUUGGUGAGGUAAAGGCUCACCAAGGCGAUGAUACAUAGCCGACCUGAGAGGGGUGUCGGCCACAUUGGGAAUGGGACAACGCUCAAACUUCUAAGGGAGGGAGCAGGAGGGGAAUUUCGGCAAUGGACCGAAGUCUGACCGGGGCACGCCGCGUGAGGUAAGAAAGUUUUCGGAUCGUAAAACUCUGUUGGUAGAGAAGAACGAAAGGUGGAGUUGAAAGCGCAUCAAGUGACGGUACCUACCCAGAAAGGGACGGCUAACUACGUG
rnacentral:rRNA from 1 species